UCUGAUCUGCUCUCUACAGCCAUUGUCUGUCACUCAUAAGUGCCCAGAAUAUUCUGUAAGUAAAUUCUUCAAAGAAACUGUUAAUCAUCUCCAGCCUUUAUUUGGAUAACCAACAUUCUCAUUACCCAAAAUUAAACGAACAAGCGGAGGAAAAAAGCAUCCUCCAACAAUUGGUGACCCCAACGUGAUUUCAGACUGAGGUGUUGGUUGACAAACAGAACAUCGGCCGGCCAACAAUUGAUAAGGUCCUGUUCUGGUCGAUCGAUGCAGAAUCCACUAGAGCAACAGCGACAGCCUCACUUCACUUAUCAACACCUGGCAACCUCACCAAGCAGGUUGAAGAAGGGUUCAGAGCAGCAGGAGAGUAAAAGCAGAACAAACAACCAGUCAAGUCAAUGUAUCACUGCACCAACUGCGCUGCCUGGUAGAACCACUGGGCAUUACAGGACAACCUGCUGGACAUGACUUGGCAUUAAAGGACAAGGUCAAAUUAAUCAAGAAAUUGUUGAUGAUCAGAGGAAGUUGAGAUAGACUUCAGCAGAGCCGCGACAAUAAUGAGAAUAAGCAGUAUGGAAAAUCAAUGGAUGGAUAUAUGCAUGUACAUUAUGUAUGGUUUUUUUUUUCAUUUAUUUAUUAGAGGUCAGACUCGGAGUCUAUAUAAUCCAUAACGAAUAGUGAAUCAAAUUAACUUUUUCUCUCUUUGUACUCUUUGUCCAAAAAUAAUAAUCCAACACAUGAAAAGUCCAACUGGAUUAUUCAACAACUACUGAACGCGUCAGAGAGUACGCUGACACGCUUUUACCUGCAUCUCCAUAGAAAGAAAAAAAUCUUUUUAGUUUAAAAUGGCUUACUUUAACGAGGAACCCAAGUCUGGUUUUCGCUUGUGGGUGGCAUAAAUCCUCACCGACCUGUGCAAACUGCCACCUUCCUUGUUUGCCUGCUGGGUUCUUAACUGUGCUAGCAUCAGGUUUUUUUAGAUCAACUUUCUCUUUUUCUCGCUUCUAAAUCCACAGCUGUGCCGUAGUCCCUCUCUCCAGCAGUGGCUCCUUUUUUGCCGGGAGGGGGGGGGCACAGAAGUGAUGCACAGUAAGUCCAAAUAGUGGUGAAAGUAAUCGGAAGCAUUUCAGAGCAUGUCACAAGAAAAUAAGUACUUUGACUCAUUUUCAUUUGAAUUUGAAAAUUCUGCUUUUUUGGUGUUGUUUUUGUUGUUGUUUUACUCACAAAUUGACUCAACUUAAAACCCAGCAUUUCCACCCAUGGUCCAUCCAUAGGAGGCCCCCCCUCUGGAGUCAGGCCGUGAGGUGGGGUUCAAUGUCGAGCGCCUGGUCAGCCAGGUAGGCACAGCCCAAAAAGAAAACGGGGGUCUUCUUUCCCAUGAAGUGACCACCUAUGGGAGGGGCGGGUGCACUGUGACCUGGGUACCGUCUGAAGGCGGGGGACAUAGGCACUCCUAUCCCUGGUUACAGAAGCUUCCUAUGGGGACAUGGAAUACCAACUUUCUGGCAGGGAUAGAGCCUGAGCAGGUGUGCGGGUUGACAAAUUCUGACUUGACAUAGUCGGACUUGCCACGAAAAACAGCUUGGGCUCUAGUACCGUCUUCUUGAGAGGAGUUGGACUUUCUUCCAAUUUGGAUUUGCCCAUAGUGAGAGGCGCCUAGCAGGUGUGGGCAUACUGAUGGCCCCGCAUCUCGGUGUCUCUGUGUUGGGGUUCGAUAUAUAGGCAACACCUCUUGGGAGUAUGAUGUAUUUUAAAGUUCAUGUUUAUCAUGUUACUGAAGUGCUCCAAAUGGGCAGUGUAGAAGUUUGGAGGAAAGUAAAGAAAUAAAAGUUUAUUUCUUUAGUAAUAAUGGUGUUAAUCCCAAACAGGUAUAUGAAAUGGCUCUUUUUCUCUGUAAUGUUAGUCAUACUUACAGUAUAUUGUGUUUUUAAAUAUUAUUUAGUAAAAUUGUGGCAUGAUAGUGGUUUGGUUAGUGGGUGGAUUAAGUCACCACUGAGGCCGGGUCUGAAAGGCUCUGUGUGGGCAUCAGUGUCAUUUUUAUUUUGUUCCCUUUGUUCCUUUGAAUACUCAUACUGUAUAUUCCCACAUUUAAAUUCAACUGUGAAUAGCUUUAACUGUGAGUGUGAAUGGUUGGGGUCUUUCUAUGACAGACUGGUCAUACCACUGCAGUCUGCAAACAUCAAUAUAAAGUUGUAGUGGUACACACGCCUGACUUCAGUGCAUGCAGCAUGGUAUCAAUUCCCAUUCAGUGAUGGUGUUGCUAUAUUCCCUACGACCUACUGCGACCAGUUCAGGGUGUAGUCUGCCUUUCACCCAAUGUUAGCUUGGAUAGGCACCAGUUCUGCAGCGAGCCUUGUGAGGAUAAGUAGCUUGGACUAUGGACAUGGACAUAACUUUCAAAAUCCACCUAUAUAGUCAAAAUCAUUUCAGGCAGUCGUGUUCUAUGCAUCUCGAGGUUUUGCACAGAUGAAUAAUCAUAUCCAAUUAGAUGUAUUACAGUACAUUGUAUAGGCACGACCCUUUAUGGAAACUGAGUUUUGUUUAGUACCACUGACUCUGCUGACAGAAUACUACUCACUCUGACAGUUAGCACAUAAUUAUAUCGCUAACACAUAAUGCAACUUUUAACAACAAAAUACUUUCCCAAAAUGUCUUUUGACCUUUAACGGCCACCCUCAAAGUCCAACAACUGGACCCUGGAGCAUUGUACAUGCUAUAGCCACUUAAAACUCAAAAGUUACAGCCUGCUCCCAAGGUAGUAUUCUGUGAAUACAAUAUGCUUUGUCUAAUUAAGGAAAAUUUGUGCCACUCCAAGGAAAAGCAGAACAGAGGAGAGAUGAAUAAAUUGAUGUGUUGCUCCAGCCUAAUGGUAUAAUAAUGAAAAAAAAAAAAAGGUUACAAUUAAUUGUUCUUUAAGGUAACUCGUUCCAUCGUUUGACUGUGGUUUGAUGUGAGAAUAGAGACCACUUGCUAAAGGAAAACUUGCAUCCUAAGCAUAACAGUGGUACCCUUGUGCAAGAAGAUACUGAAUCUCCAAAUGUUUGGAGAUGAAACACCUUUUGGUGCAGUCAUGUCACACUGAGAUUUGUCCUACUACAUAGAUGUAAAAUGAUAAAAUGAUGAAGGAUUUUGCCCUUGUGUAACAAUUAAAUGUUAUGAAAAACGACAAGUAGGCAGCAUGGUUGAUAUACCGGUCAACUCGUACAGUUUAGCUGGAGUUCAUACAGAUUUUGUGGUGAAUCUUACGUAUACGGCCGUAUAUCACAAGUCAUACGGAUUCUGAAAAUUUCCAUUUGCUUUUGCCCAGAAUGGCACUAGUCUACUCUAUUGUGGGGAAAACCCAAAACUGGGGAAUUCCAAACGUAGCCUGCAUCAAAGAUUUUUGUCACAGCAGGCAUGAUGUUUAGCGUAGCGGCAAAUGUUGAUUUAGAUUACCAAAAUACUUUCAUUUGCAGUAACUUUCCAGUAAAUCGUUGGCCCAGAUCGAGCACCGCCAAGGAACACGGGAAACAUGGAGGCUGCGGCCGAGGAGCUGCUGGCCGGCUCUCGGCUGCCUGUCACAAUCGAUCAAAUCGUUAACGAUACGCUAUUGGUGACGCUGACCUAUCGAGAUAGGAGCUAUACAGGGAUAUUACUUGACUGCAACAAAAAGUGAGUGUCGUUUUUUUAUCUUGACUUUGAUCAUUUGUGGCUCAAAUUAAUAUGACUUAGCUCGUAGCUAAUGUAGCGUCCAUGCUCGCUAGUUAGCCGCCUGGGCCUCAUUACAAAUACUGUACAUGGGAUUAUUGUAGCUGACAUUGUAGCUUUCUUGCUAGCAUUCUAGCUGAUGGUCGUGUUUUUAUAACAGCUGACAAUAAUAUAAUUUAAUGCUGUGUUUUCACCACAAGGGUGUCAUAAGUAUGUCAAGAUAGACGUUCCAUUUACUAAGAUUGAGAAUGGCUUCAUCGGAACAAUAGCUAAUGUCAGUGAGUGCAUCUAUGGCUUAUUGUUAGCCUUAUCAUAGAGAUCAGCUCCUUCCUUAUUCACUAAAAAUAAGGAAUUGAUCAUCGGCAUUCAGUGGAUAUGUUAUCUUUCAAAACAUAUUUCUUUUCCCAUCACUGAUUCUCUUUGGUGAAUCUCUCUUACAAAUAUCUGGGGUAUUGUAGCCUGGCUGAUAAAUAGCCAUAUAGACAUUCACCUCAGAUAUUAUUAUUAUGGAGAUCUACAAUAAAAAUCAUUGAAAAACUUUGUGUUUUUUCCCUGCAUUAUUUUGACAUAUAAUUUGCUUCUGUAUGUUAUAAGGAUUUUUUUGCUCUCUAUAAGGAUUUUGUUGGUAGUGUAUACAGGUUGGUGCUCCGAAGAGUUGACAGAUAUGGGUCGAGCAGCUGUAGAAGAGCGUUGGCCUCACAGUUCUGAGGACCGGGAUUUGAAUCCCGGCCCCAUCCUUUGUGGAGUUUGCAUGUUCUCCCCGUGGCCGUGUGAGUUUUCGCAUUCCAAUUUCCUCCCACCUCCAAAAAACACGCAUUAAUUGGACACUCUAAAUUGCCCCUUCGUGUAAUUGUCAGUGCGACUGUUGUCUGUCUCCAUGUGACCUGCAAAUGGGUGGGAACCAGUUCAGGGUGUACCCCGCCUCCUGCCCGUUGACAGCUGGGAUAGGCUCCAGGACAACUGAGCACACCACACCAGGUAGAGAGGUUUCCUUGGAGACAGCCCACCUGGUGGAGCAACAUCCCCCAUCACAUGAGGAAAGCACAUCAAACACUGUACUUCCUCAUGAAACUGCACUAAUUCCUGACCCCCUCCCCAACACCCACUGAUUAGCUCUUAAAGAUCCAGCAUGAGCUGACCUCCUGCUCCACAAGGUGGUUCAGCAGGUCUACUGAGCACGAGGACAGGAAUGAUCUGCACCAGGUGGUGAGAGCAGCAGAGUGAGUGAUUGGAGGUAAACUAUCCAUGCUCAUGGACUCUAGAGUGGGAGAUAAACGUGGAAAGCCAAUGGAAUCAUAAACUACUCCUCCCACCCCAGACACUCACAACCCCUCCCUCUAGAAAACACCACAGGACAAACUUUAGAACCAUGGGGCUUAAGAACAAUUUCUACCAUCAAGCUGCAAAAUGCACCUCGCCCCUACAUCCCACAAUACGAACCAUAACAACUAACAACUACAAAGAGUAACUAGGAUAGAAUGAAAGACUAUAAUAUUGUCUGGUCAUAAUUUGCACAUUACCGAAAACCUUAUCACAAUAUCAUAACUCUCCCAAACCUGAACACUUACAUAUUCCGUAAAAUAAGUUUCUUUGAUAACUGUGUUUGUAUGUUUAUUUCUUUUUUUUAAACAAUAGUGCAAAUUGUUCGAUGCCUAACUGAUUUUCAUUGUUCCUGGAACAGUUCUGCAGUUCUAUUCCAUUCUGUUCUACCACAUUCAACUUGUUGAAGUCCAAGAUUUUUGUUGAAACCAAAGGAGAAAGAAUAUUACGCAACACAACAGUGAAUUUGACAUACUCAUGUGAAUACUCUGUGGUGGAAAUUGGCAUGUGAGAGUGGGCCACCACCCGUGAAGGAGCCGAUCCUGUUUGCACAUCAGAUUCAUUGAGCAUAUUGCGAGAGUGGAGUUGCAGCCAUAUUCAACUCAGUCCCGUUAGCAUAACCAAAAGCUAGACUUAACUUCAAUGCUUCGGAAAGCGAUGUUCUUGACCUCCCUUAUACAUCCUGGAGGAUGCAAAAACUUCUACUACUACUUUUUGUUAUACUUUAUAGCCCUCUCAGACUGAAGCAAACUCUCACAACUUCUAUUAGGCCCCGUUAUUACUACAGAUGAAAUCAUUAUAGUUGAUGCUGAAAAGGACAGCUUCUGCUCAUAAUUUACUUCAUUAUUCUAAGCGGCUGGGUUCUUAUAAGUGGUAGACGCAGUCAGCCCACUGUCAUAAUCACACGCUCGACCUUGUGCUGACCUCAAUAUUGACAAUUUAAUAAUACUCCCACAAUCAGACCACAUCCAAACCACCUUUACAAAUGAAAUAACUCUGAAUUGACUUAAUUGGGAAAAAAAAAAGAGCAGACCAUUUCACUUGUUAUAAAGGUCAGUAAAAUAAAAUAGUACAACAUAAUACAAGUCAUUUGAAUUGGGUUAGUAGUUUAUUUUUGUGUUGUAGCGAUGCUUCCUGUCAUUACAUUUCAUUAUGUUGAAGCUUAUUUUCCCAUUCAGACCACUAAGCCAGGAAGAUACAUUUGUGAAAUGUGCGUUGGACCCACAUCAAACAAAAAUGAGCCCGUGAAUCUGACCUGCUGCAAGGAUAGGCUUUGACAGGGCUCACAGGACGUAUUCACACCACUUAAAAAAAUUGAAAAAAAAUUCAUUACACUGGCCUCAAAAUCCUAAAAGCAACACUGAAAACGGAAAGCGAUGCUGUACCAUAUUUUCCAGAUUAUAAUAUGGUACUUUUUUCCCCACACCCUGGACAAUGCACCCUUUGUAACGAUGCAAGUUUUUUGUUUGUUUUUUUUUUUUUUUUGCUUCCGACUAUCAGUUUAAAUGUACAAAAAAACUUGUAUGAACGUUAUCCUUAAAACAUGACCGUUCUCCAUCAGGCACUAGGGUAUGGGCAUGGGAAGAUGCCUCCACCGUGAAGACAAAGACAGCGGUAAUUUUGGCAUCUUCGAUGCUCGAACAGCCAUCAAGAGAUCAAACUCAAUUCCAGCUUUUCACCCACUGGACAACAGUGUGAAUCAUGCUUUUAAAGCAACACUGCGAGGUGAGUGGGAGGCUUGGAUGAGCAGUGAUGAGAAAUCUUUCACAAAAAACUGGCCGCAUGCAAAAAUCAUCCUUUUCUAAGGUCUGCCAGUGGACCUUAAACAUGGCGCAGUGUGAAAGAAUCUACGACCACCAACAGAUUUCGAAAGGCUGGACUACUACGUAAGGAGAACAGCACAACUUCAGUGGGAACUGGGUCUUGAGAUGAAAAUAUCAUUGAGAACAACAAAGAGACUAAAAUUGUGUGUGAUGGAGACAUUCUGAGGCUCUUCAACUCUGAUACUGAAGACGAUAACUUCAGUGGCUUCAGUGAACAGGAGGAGGGGGACUAAAAACAAUGACUUUUCUGAUAAGUGUGACCCGUUUUAAUGCCGUGUUCGAGUCACUGUUUAGAAACAAAAAAUGUAAACAAACAUUUACAAAAUCUUUCUAGGUAAAUAUCUAAUUUCACAACAAAUAUAUCUGUGGCGUAUAGUCCAGUGCAUCUAAAGUAUGUUAAAAAAAAUUCUACACAAAGUGGGUGGAUUUUAUAUUCCGAUGCUCUCUAACAUCCGGAAAAUACGGUACUUCGUUAUCUGGAAGAACUCCAGGAUGAUCAGCAGAAACCGAAUCAGCGGUUGAGCUCAAUUUUUAGCUUCAUGGAAAAGGGUAAGUUCUGUACACGUCAUUUUUUGUUGUUGUUGUUCUUUUUUCAUAAAUAAAAACAAAAAACUUUGUUGUCCACAUUGUCAUUAUGAGGUGCAUAGAAGCCCAUGUAAUAACGGUCCAAAAUGUAAUAAAUUUGCCCUUUUUCAAAUAUAACACGCCAAAAUUAUAAUGAAAGUUGUGAACCUUCAAUGUCCAACACAUUUGGAGACAGUUUGAAAGAUCAAAUUUAUCAUCGAGUGAAAUAGUGUUGUGAAAACGUAUAGGCUCCCUUCUCAUAUUUCCCAACUUUAACAUUAAACAAACGUAAAUAUCAGACAAAUGUAACCCAAGUGAACUUCAAAUGAUUUUUAAGAUGGUGAUUUAAUUAGAAAAAAAAUAUUCAAUUUUCAUGGCCCUGUGUGAAAAAUAAUGACCCCUUAAAUCUACUAACUGGUUGAGCCAACCUCAGCAGCAGCUAGUGAAAUCAAGCAUUUUCUGUAAGCAGCAAUGAGUCUUGCACAUCUCUUUGGCGAGAUUUUUGCCCACACCUCCUUGCAGAAUUGCUUGAAUUCAGCAAAAAUGAUUGGUUUUAGAGCAUGAACAGCUUUUCAAAGUCAUGUAAAAGCCACUGUAUUUCAACCAGAGUCAAGUCUGUACUUUGAUUAGGCCACUCAAAUAGUCAUUUUGUUUUUUUUAAGCCAUUCAGAAGUAGGAACACUGGUGUGUUUUGGAUCACUAUCCUCCUACAGUACACAAUUGCACUUUAGCUUGAGGUCACAAACUGAUGAGUGACCGUUCUCCUUCAGGAUUUUCUGUUGAAGACCAGAAUUCAUGGUACCAAUCGACCCCAAAAUGUUUUCCAUCUCCUGAAGGAGCAAAGCUGCCCAAGACCAUAACGCUACCACAUUUGGACUGUGGGUAUUAUGUUGUGUUUUGGAAAUGAUGCGUUGCACUUACAGUACGCCAGAUGUAACAAAACAUACAUCAUCUAAAAAGGUCAGACUUUCAUAUUUUCACUUCAUCAAAUAUUCUCAUUAAACUCUUGGGAAUCAUUCCAAUGUGUUUUGUUUUGAUUUGCUUUCAAAUGUAAGACAAGCCUUUAUGUUCUUUUUAGUCAGCAGUUUCUUUUGCAUUGGAACUCUGCCAUGGAGAACAUUUUUCCACAGUCUUUUCCUAAUUGUUGUGUCAUGAACGUUGGACUUAACUGAGGGGAGUGAGGCAUGCAGAUUCUGUUCAGGUAAUUUCCUGAUUGAACAGGUCUGGACGUAAUCAGACUUGGGUGUGAUAAGUGAAAAUUAACCAAAAAUUGUGAUUAGCCACAAAGGGAGUAAUUAAUGUUUCCACACAAGUUGAAGGUUUUUUUUCCUGAAGAAGCAAAAUCACCAUUUAAAAACAGUAUUUUAAAUUGACCUGUGUUAUAUUUGUCUGAUACAUUUGUUUGAUUAUCUCAAACGUUAAUGUGGGAAACUGCAAAAAUUUGAAGAGGGGGCAAAUACCAUUUUCAAGGUACUGUGGACAAAAAAACGUGAAGAGAGGGAGAGCAAGAGACGGACAGACGGAGAGUAUAUAUUUACAGAGUUACAUUCAAAUAAAGUCACAAAUACAUUGAUAUUAGUAUGUGAUUACGUUACGUGCUUACAAACAUUUUUUUAAACAACACCAUAACGUAAUAUUCAGCCAGUAACAUCAGUUAAUACAUUAUUGGCCAUAAAGUAUUAUGUUUUUGGGUCAGGACUUUUGUGACACUAAUGGCCCGUUAUUCUCUUGUAUUCCUACUGUGUUCUAAACCGGGCAAAUUUAUUAGGUUAUGGGCUGUUAUUACAUUACAGGUGGUUGUUAUGUUGUGGGCUUCUGCAGGGUGUUUGUGAAAAUCUCUCAUGGAAAAUAUGAUUUCAAUCCAUUUAGGAAUAGGACUCUAACCAGGGCUGCACGUAUCCAAUAUUUUUAGACUUGACUAUUGUUACG